CCUACGGGAGGCAGCAGUGAGGAAUAUUGGUCAAUGGGCGCGAGCCUGAACCAGCCAAGUCGCGUGAGGGAAGACGGUCCUAUGGAUUGUAAACCUCUUUUGUCGGGGAGCAAAAGACGCCACGCGUGGCGUUCCGAGAGUACCCGACGAACAAGCAUCGGCUAACUCCGUGCCAGCAGCCGCGGUAAUACGGAAGAUGCGAGCGUUAUACGGAUUGAUUGGGUUUAAAGGGUGCGCAGGCGGAAGAUCAAGUCAGCGGUAAAAUUGAGAGGCUCAACCUCUGCGAGCCGUUGAAACUGGUUUUCUUGAGUGAGUGAGAAGGAUGCGGAAUGCGUGGUGUAGCGGUGAAAUGCAUAGAUAUCACGCAGAACUCCGAUUGCGAAGGCAGCAUACCGGAGCUCAACUGACGCUCAUGCACGAAAGUGUGGGUAUCGAACAGGAUUAGAUACCCCAGUAGUC
rnacentral:rRNA from 1 species